AAUGCCGGUAUUCUUUGUCAGAUGCUUCUAGGAAGCAAUCGUUAUUUGUUUAUUCAAACCAACACCCAGAGGAGGGUGACGUGUUUUGAGAGAGAUGUUCACUGGUCAUGCUUUGGUGUCACAUUGCGUGACUCCGGCUUGGGGAGGGUAAUGAUGAACUUCUUAAGUGGGUCCCUUAGGAGGAAUGAAGAUACUCUGUAAUGAAAGAAUGACUGCAGAUGAGUGAAGUCAGGUAGACUAACAGAAGGCUUGUACAAGAACCCAGAUGAAUCAGAACUGAAAGCAUAGAGAAGGUCCAGUUUUUCAACGUGUUCACAGCAACUUGUACCAAUGCCUCCUGCUGAGUUCAGAAGCAUUAAUCAUUGCACAUGGAGAACAUAGAAGCGUAUCUAAA